rnacentral:rRNA from 1 species
GACGAAGGAUGCAAGCGUUAUCCGGAUUCAUUGGGUUUAAAGGGAGCGUAGGUGGACUUAUAAGUCAGCGGUGAAAUCUCUGGGCUUAACCCAGAAAUUGCCAUUGAUACUGUAGGGCUUGAGUAUAGUUGCCGUUGGCGGAAUAUGACAUGUAGUGGUGAAAUACAUAGAGAUGUCAUAGAACACCGAUUGCGAAGGCAGCUGACGAAACUAUAACUGACACUGAGGCUCGAAAGUGCGGGGAUCAAACAGG